rnacentral:rRNA from 1 species
UACGUAGGGGGCAAGCGUUGUCCGGAAUUAUUGGGCGUAAAGAGCGCGUAGGCGGUCCGAUAAGUCGGCUGUGAAAGUCAAGGGCUCAACCCUUGAAAGCCGGCCGAUACUGUCGGACUAGAGUCCGGAAGAGGCGAGUGGAAUUCCCGGUGUAGCGGUGAAAUGCGCAGAUAUCGGGAGGAACACCAAUAGCGAAGGCAGCUCGCUGGGACGGUACUGACGCUAAGGCGCGAAAGCGUGGGAGCAAACAGG